CGCGUAGGCGGUUCGAUUAGUCGGAGGUGAAAUCCCUCGGCUCAACCGAGGAUCCGCGUCCGAUACUGUCGAACUUGAGUGCAGGAGAGGAGAGCGGUAUUCCCAGUGUAGCGGCGAAAUGCGUAGAUAUUGGGAGGAACACCGGUGGCGAAGGCGGCUCUCUGGACUGUUACUGACGCUGAGGCGCGAAAGCUAGGGGAGCAAACGGGAUUAGAUACCCCGGUAGUCCUAGCCGUAAACGAUGGGCACUAGGUGUGGGAGGUAUCGACCCCUUCCGUGCCGCAGCUAACGCAUUAAGUGCCCCGCCUGGGGAGUACGGCCGCAAGGUUGAA
rnacentral:rRNA from 1 species